rnacentral:misc_RNA from 1 species
CUCUUCUCAAUUUUUUACUCCCUGAGAUAUUUAGCUCAGCUGAAACAUUUGAUGAGUGGUUUCAAAUUUCUGGAGAAAAUGAUCAACAAGAAGUUGUUCAACAACUUCACAAAGUUCUGCGCCCCUUUCUCCUAAGGAGGCUUAAGUCUGAUGUUGAGAAAGGUUUACCCCCCAAGAAGGAAACAAUUCUUAAGGUUGGAAUGUCUCAGAUGCAAAAAACCUAUUAUCGUGCUUUGCUUCAAAAAGAUCUGGAGG